GUGAAUCAUCGAAUCUUUGAACGCAAAUUGCACUCUCUUCGGAGAGUAUGCCUGUUUGAGGGUCAGCCUAAAAAAAAAAAUCGACAUAGUCGCUGUUUCGCGGUUACAUUCGUCGGAAAUUUUGUCAUCUUAAACCUUUGGGUUUUAAGUGGCUUAAAUUUUUUUUUACGAUUCCCCUAACGUUCUUAAGAUUUACUUUUUACCCGUUUAAGGA
rnacentral:misc_RNA from 1 species